rnacentral:lncRNA from 1 species
AUGUUAAAAAACAAACCAAACCAAACCAGAAACACACCGGGCAGGCAAGCAAGCAGAGCUCGGCAGAGACCCCGCGCCUGCCCCGGGGCGAGCUCACACGCAGGUGGGCGGCGGGGCGGGGAUCUCGUACUUGCCCUGGUGGGUUUUGGGGGGAGGCUGGGCCUUGGAGUAAAUGCCCCCGCCGGCGCCGGCGAUGACGCUGGCGGGCUUCCUGCGGCUGCUCCGCCUCAGCCGGCGGCUGCACACGCUCUGCCAGGACUGCAGGGUCUUGGAGGUCCAGACCCACAUGCCGCUGGUGAUGCCCACGACCAGCAGCAUGGACACCUUCACCAGGAAGAUCUCCACGGCCGGGAUGGAGGCCGCCAUGGCGCAGUCCAGGUCCUUGGUCUGGUUGUUCACCCUGCACUUGUGCUGCGUGGCCAGGGUCUUCCAGUAGUCCACGUUCAGGCGCUCGUAGAAGUAGCAGGCGAUGACGCAGGUGGCGGGCACGGUGUAGAGCACGGAGAAGACGCCGAUCCGCACCAUGAGCUUCUCCAGCUUGUCCGUGUUCUCCCCGCCCGUCUUCAUGACCCGGCGGAUGUGGAAGAGGGCCACGAAGCCGGACAGCACGAAGGACGUGCCCACCACCAGGUAGCAGGCCAGCGGCACCAGCACGAAGCCCGUGAGGGCGUUCACGUCCAUGCUGCCCACGUAGCACACGCCGGUCAGCUCGUCGCCCGGUCGCUGGCCUGGGCAACUCUCGCCCCUCUGGACAGUGGGGGCUGGCUUUGCCCGUGGCUCUGUAGGGUGCCGUCCUCUGCUGGGCCCCUCCUCUCUUGGCCACAGCUUGCUGCUGGCCUGUCUGUCUGUAGGCAUCCAGCGCAUCAGUCCCUCACCAGGGGCCAUGUGGCGAGGCCCGCUCCCCAUCUGAACUUGACUUGUGUGGUCGGGAGCCUGGUACAGUUUCCAGCCAGUCGUGCCUGGUUUUCUGGCCUCAGUGCACUGUUCUGAUGUGGGGUGCUCUCGCAGGACGUCAGCCCAAGUGUUGCUUGUUCAGCGAAUCAAUGGUCCUUGCCUGCUGUUGCCAUGUGCCCUUGGCAUGUGUGUGGCAAGUAUACAUAUGUGCAUGUACACACGCUGUAUACAUAUAUCCAUGCAUGCACUUAUAUACAAUACACACAUGCAUACGUGUACACAGUACCUAAAAUGUGGUUUUUUUUUUUGAGAAGGUGGGACUGGUGUUGUGACAGUGAGUAGAGCUGCUGCCCAUGCGGCAUCCCGUAUGGGCACUGGUUCAGGUCCCGGCUGCUCCGUUUCAAUCCAGCUCCCUGCCGGUGCACCUGGGAAAAGCAGCAGAAGACGGCCCAGGUGCCUGGGCCCCUGACACCCACGUGGGGGACCUGCGUGGAGUUCCUGGCUCCUGGCUUCAGUCUGGCCCAGCCCUGGCCAUUGCAGCCACUUGGGGUGUGAAGCCAGCAGGUGAGUCCCUCCCUCCCUCCCUCUCUCCCUCUCUCUCUCUUUUUCCCUCUCCCUCUCUCCCUCCCUCCCUCCCUUCCUCUCUCUGUCCCUCCCUCUCUAUAACUCUGCCUUUCAAAUAAAUAAAUUAAAUCUUUAAAAUAAGAUAAGAUA